rnacentral:rRNA from 1 species
UUGAAAGGGAAACGAUUGAAGUCAGUCGUACCUAUGGGUAAUCAGCCUUUUGGGUGUGAUUUUGUGGAGCGUGAGGAGUUAAACGCCUUCAUGCCUGCAUAUUCGUGCACUUUGGGUGUACUUGCCCGUGUGUAAGUUAACAUCAAUUUUGAUGGUCAUAAAAUGGCUAGAGGAAUGUAGCUUCGAUCUUGUAUUGAAGUGUUAUAGCCUUCGGUAGAUGUGACGAUCGGGAUUGAGGAUUGCAACGGAUACCCUUCGGGGCUACCUGUCUGAUCUCUGAUUGUUGCUCUGGUACCGAAAGCUUGCUUACGGUUAUCAAAGUCGAUGGUCAAUAGGUUAGAACGGGUUAAAUUCGUUAAGGAUGUUGACGUA